CUGAGAAGAAAUAGGGAUAAAGGGAAUACCAAGGCUCAGUUUCUUGCAGCAAAGCCUUAUUUCAUAAUUGGAAUUAAUGACUUUUCCUGGAAGAAAAUCAGGCAGCGAGCAAUGAUUAUCUUAGUCCUUGGUUAGGACUCUUGCACAUUCUGAUAAUGAGGAGAAGAUUGGACAACAGUAUCACCACUCGCUGUUCUUUGGAAUUACGACCGUAAGCUCUGGGGACUGGCACGUAUCUGAUACACAGAGGGGAAGGCUGUGCAUAUCAGCAUCAGCCUGCUUCCACCUCAUUAUUCCCUCAGAAUGGGUGUUUCCAUCCAAGUGAUUAUUUGAGAUCUUUUGACUGAAAUGUGGGCACACAGGUCUUUCCUCCCAAGCUUCCAUUAUAA